GUGCCAGCAGCCGCGGUAAUACGGAGGAUGCGAGCGUUAUCCGGAUUUAUUGGGUUUAAAGGGUGCGUAGGCGGUGCGUUAAGUCAGCGGUAAAAUUGAGGGGCUCAACCCCUUCCCGCCGUUGAAACUGGCGUGCUUGAGUGGGCGAGAAGUACGCGGAAUGCGUGGUGUAGCGGUGAAAUGCAUAGAUAUCACGCAGAACUCCGAUUGCGAAGGCAGCGUACCGGCGCCCAACUGACGCUGAAGCACGAAAGCGUGGGUAUCGAACAGGAUUAGAUACCCUGGUAGUCCACGCAGUAAACGAUGAAUGCUAAUUGUCCGCGGGGAGUGACCUGUGGGUGAUAAAGCGAAAGCGUUAAGCAUUCCACCUGGGGAGUACGCCGGCAACGGUGAA
rnacentral:rRNA from 1 species